rnacentral:rRNA from 1 species
CCUACGGGGGGCAGCAGUGGGGAAUAUUGGACAAUGGGGGCAACCCUGAUCCAGCCAUGCCGCGUGUGUGAAGAAGGCCCUCGGGUUGUAAAGCACUUUCAGUGAGGAAGAACGCCUGGUGGUUAAUACCCAUCAGGAAAGACAUCACUCACAGAAGAAUCACCGGCUAACUCCGUGCCAGCAGCCGCGGUAAUACGGAGGGUGCGAGCGUUAAUCGGAAUUACUGGGCGUAAAGCGCGCGUAGGUGGCUUGAUAAGCCGGUUGUGAAAGCCCCGGGCUCAACCUGGGAACGGCAUCCGGAACUGUCAAGCUAGAGUGCAGGAGAGGAAGGUAGAAUUCCCGGUGUAGCGGUGAAAUGCGUAGAGAUCGGGAGGAAUACCAGUGGCGAAGGCGGCCUUCUGGACUGACACUGACACUGAGGUGCGAAAGCGUGGGUAGCAAACAGGAUUAGAUACCCGAGUAGUC